CCGAGUCUUAACUGGGCGUUAAGUUGCAGGGUAUAGACCCGAAACCCGGUGAUCUAGCCAUGGGCAGGUUGAAGGUUGGGUAACACUAACUGGAGGACCGAACCGACUAAUGUUGAAAAAUUAGCGGAUGACUUGUGGCUGGGGGUGAAAGGCCAAUCAAACCGGGAGAUAGCUGGUUCUCCCCGAAAGCUAUUUAGGUAGCGCCUCGUGAAUUCAUCUCCGGGGGUAGAGCACUGUUUCGGCAAGGGGGUCAUCCCGACUUACCAACCCGAUGCAAACUGCGAAUACCGGAGAAUGUUAUCACGGGAGACACACGGCGGGUGCUAACGUCCGUCGUGAAGAGGGAAACAACCCAGACCGCCAGCUAAGGUCCCAAAGUCAUGGUUAAGUGGGAAACGAUGUGGGAAGGCCCAGACAGCCAGGAUGUUGGCUUAGAAGCAGCCAUCAUUUAAAGAAAGCGUAAUAGCUCACUGGUCGAGUCGGCCUGCGCGGAAGAUGUAACGGGGCUAAACCAUGCACCGAAGCUGCGG
rnacentral:rRNA from 1 species